AGUGAACGCUGGCGGUAGGCCUAACACAUGCAAGUCGAACGGCAGCACAGGAGAGCUUGCUCUCUGGGUGGCGAGUGGCGGACGGGUGAGGAAUACAUCGGAAUCUACUCUGUCGUGGGGGAUAACGUAGGGAAACUUACGCUAAUACCGCAUACGACCUGCGGGUGAAAGCAGGGGAUCUUCGGACCUUGCGCGAUUGAAUGAGCCGAUGUCGGAGUAGCUAGUUGGCGGGGUAAAGGCCCACCAAGGAGACAAUCCGUAGCUGGUCUGAGAGGAUGAUCAGCCACACUGGAACUGAGACACGGUCCAGACUCCUACGGGAGGCAGCAGUGGGGAAUAUUGGACAAUGGGCGCAAGCCUGAUCCAGCCAUACCGCGUGGGUGAAGAAGGCCUUCGGGUUGUAAAGCCCUUUUGUUGGGAAAGAAAUCCAGCUGGCUAAUACCCGGUUGGGAUGACGGUACCCAAAGAAUAAGCACCGGCUAACUUCGUGCCAGCCGCCGCAGUAA
rnacentral:rRNA from 1 species